rnacentral:lncRNA from 1 species
GAUAUUUAUUGCAUGCAAUAUAACCUUAUCCAUUGUUAAUCAUCUACGUUCAAAACAUUUAUGGAGAAAUACACGGGUAAACCUAUCCCUUCCCGAGGAAUCAUCAUGAAAUAAAAAUGUUUUGAUUCAUCCACACCAAGUUAUCGGUAAGAAGUAUAAAAUAUUUACUAAUUUCGAAAUGGAACUCUGAAUUUUGUACUAUCUAACACUAAACAUAUCAAGAAUUAUGAUACACAACUCAUUAAAUAGCAAAAACAACUGCUUAAAUGGUCACAACAAUGGGAGUAGUUGCUUUGGAUGGUUCACAACUAGUUUAUCUGACAUUAGUUUCUUCACUUAAAGACUUUGGAAUAGCUAUGGUUGAUAAGCCCCAAAAAAUGGUGUUCAGAAAACUCAUAAAACGCAAAAACA